rnacentral:rRNA from 1 species
CUGUGUCCUUCGACGCCGGUUCACCGCCUGUCGGUGCCAACUGGCGUUUUGCGGGACGUCCUGUCGGUGGUGCGUCUGGAAUCUUAGUUGUGCUAUGCUUUGCUUAGUGCAGCUCUGGUUUUGGGCCACUUUCAUAAUCCCGCCGCGGUGCUCUUAAUCGAGUGUCGAGGCGGGCCGGCACGUUUACUUUGAACAAAUUAGAGUGCUUCAAGCAGGCUUGUCACGCCUGUAUACUGUGUGCAUGGAAUAAUGGAAUAGGACCUCGGUUCUAUUUUGUUGGUUUCCGGAAUCUGAGGUAAUGAUCAAUGGGGACAGGCGGGGGCAUUCGUAUUGCGACGUUAGAGGUGAAAUUCUUGGAUCGUCGCAAGACGGACCGAAGCGAAAGCAUUUGCCAAGUAUGUUCCCGUCGAUCAAGAACGAAAGUUAGAGGUUCGAAGGCGAUCAGAUACCGCCCUAGUUCUAACCAUAAACAAUGCCUGCCAGCGAUCCGCCGGCGUCCCUCCGAUGACCCGGCGGGCAGCUUCCGGGAAACCAGAGCUUUUGGGUUCCGGGGGAAGUAUGGUUGCAAAGCUGAAACUUAAAGGAAUUGACGGAAGGGCACCACCAGGAGUGGAGCCUGCGGCUUAAUUUGACUCAACACGGGAAAACUCACCAGGCCCGGACACCGGAAGGAUUGACAGAUUGAUAGCUCUUUCUUGAUUCGGUGGGUGGUGGUGCAUGGCCGUUCUUAGUUGGUGGAGCGAUUUGUCUGGUUAAUUCCGAUAACGAACGAGACUCUAGCCUACUAACUAGACGUAUCUGGUAUCAGCAAUCGUGCUACCAGCGAUCAUAUCUCUUCUUAGAGGGACAGGCGGCUUCUAGCCGCACGAGACUGAGCAAUAACAGGUCUGUGAUGCCCUUAGAUGUCCUGGGCCGCACGCGCGCUACACUGAAGGAAUCAGCGUGUCUUCCCUGUCCGAAAGGACCGGGUAACCCGCUGAACCUCCUUCGUGCUUGGGAUUGGGGCUUGCAAUUGUUCCCCAUGAACGAGGAAUUCCCAGUAAGCGCGAGUCAUAAGCUCGCGUUGAUUACGUCCCUGCCCUUUGUACACACCGCCCGUCGCUACUACCGAUUGAAUGAUUUAGUGAGGUCUUCGGACCGGUGCGCGGAGGCGGUUUUCCGCUCCCGAUGUUGUCGGAAAGAUGACCAAACUUGAUCAUU